CUUACAUGCCAUCUUGCUUUUCCAUCUUCAUGCCGUUUGCCACUCUCAACUGACUUCAAAUGUGGGAAGCCGACAGAGAAGCUGCCACUGCCUGUUUAGCACCAUGAAGAUCUGCAUUCUGAUCUGCCAGACAAUCCACGUCUCUCUGAACUGGUCAGGCACUUCAUCAUUUCCCUGUUAGCCUCUGCUUUCUGCACUGGCCUGAAGUCAUGGCUCAGUUAGGCAUCUGCCAGACUGCUCCUGAGGGUCCUGGGUGGAGAACGAGGAGUCAAAAGUUUUCUCACUGCAUGGAGAGUCCAUUAUGAACCAUUUCAAACAAUGAUUUAUGGACAGGAGCCCAGCGAUGAGACUGGAGAUGACAUGUGCUAUGCGAAAGUUUGCAGCAGGAGCCCGACUGAUCACACGUUAUCGACGUUCAAUUAAAAGCUAUUAAGGUCUUUUGUCUGCUCGUUAAUAUCCCAUUCAGACGCCCUGUCAGAGCGGUCCCUAAACCCUGAGCUUUACGGACUGGUCCCAUAGUUGGGUUAAAGUCAGUGUUAGGCUCGCGGAGGGGGAAUUAAGGGGGGCUCCUGUCGUGCCGCUGACCAGAUGUCCCGUCGCUGAGCCGAGCCGCAGUCCACGCUGCCCGGUGACCAGCUGUUGGGGCCGCUUGGCAAAGAGCAGCAAACCAACACUCUCAAGAAAGUAUAUGGAAACAAUCCAUUUCCAAAUGGGAUCAUUUAGGGCACUUAAACAAUUACACACUUAGGUGACCAUUAAUAUUUCAUGCACAGAUUGUUUAUGAAAACUAAAC